AGCUUCAAAGACCAAAAUCCAAACACUAAAACUUUACAUAUACAAUUAAAAUAAUUAUUUUACAAAACAAACCUAACCACAAACUUUAUUCAACUAUAUGUCAAAAUACUUCAUAAUUCAAAACUAUAUACUAUAAAGUUUUAUCCUUAAACUUUACGUUCAAACAUAAGAAUCAAAAGCAAAAUACAAUACCAAAUAUCAAGCAAAUUUUAAAAAGAAUAAAACUGUUUUUUCAUUGGGUGAUAGCUAAUGGCAAGAAUUGGGUCAGAUCAAUUACAACCAUUGAUUAAAGUUAAAUCUAAUGGUGGGGAAUCAAUCUCAACUUCUCUCUUUCGUCUUCUUCUUUCCAUGCUCAGCCUCUAUCCAAGCCUGUCGUCGUUAGCAUCAAUCGCCAUUGUCGUGGAGAUCUGAGAAGGAAAAAAGAUGAAACGGGAAGAAGAAGGAGAAGAUACGCCGGAGGUCGUUGUGCGACGGAGGAAACGCGCCGGAGGUGAUGGUGUGACUGAAAGAGCGCCAGAGGUGAUGGUGUGACUGAAAGAGGCGCCAGAGGUGAUGGUGUGAUGGUGAAGCGCGGAAGCUGCGGCAGUGGAGGUGCUGAAGCCGACGGUGACGUCUCCGGAAGAACCCUAUACCCGUAUAAAUACGAUGUAUUUGUGUGUAUAUAUGAAUUUAUCUUUAUAUUUAUGUAUAUAUGUGUAUUUUUUGUAUUAUAUAAAAUAAUAAUUUUAAAAUAAAAAAUCUAUACUGUCA